CGUGCUUUGAGAGCAGAGAGGCGUCGUUGCAGGCCAGCCCGGCCCCUGCACAGGCCUCGGCCAUGUGGCACUGUUUCUGAGGCAGGCUCGUCCGGACAGAAGCGAGCGAGGAAACCUUGGAUCGCUCCUCCCUGGGUCUCCUCGCCGCAGGUGCCGUUAGGAUCCGGAUUGUAGAGGCCACGCUGCCGCCGAGCCGCCGUCCCCAAGGCCCCCCCGCCUGCUCCGGGUUCCUCUCCCCCUCCCCACGGGUGUUAUUUACACCGUUUCCUGCCCAGGGAAGUUCAGGAGUUUGACGUUACCGGGUUGGUUUCCGCUCUCCUGCCUGGCUCCCAUCGGGAGCUCUCGCAGAGCCCGAGCCCUGCGGUGCCAGCGGUGGCCGGGUAGGAGCCUGCCCGUGCCAGCGGGCAGAUGGAGGUGCCAGCCAGGCCCAGGGAAGGAAGCGUAACCCCUGUCAGGCCGGACAACUCAAGCUCAACCGGCCUGGGAGGGCUGGAAAAGCUGACCCCAUGUCCAUCCCUCCGCAUCGGUCCUGCUGCGGGGCUGGACGGGGCAGCUCAGACCCAGUGGGAGGAAGGGAGGACGCGCCCGGGCAUCGCUGCAGAGCUUUUGGGUUCCUGCCGAAUCGACGCCCUCCCCUCUCCCCCCCCCCAUCCUUCCCGUGUGCUCCCGCCUGGCCUGCGUCUCUCCUCCCUUCCCUUCUCCCUCCCAUCCCGCAGCAAACAAAAUGGCUGCUGCAUGGCCAUUUUGUUUUCCGUCUGGAAGGGGGAAGCCAGGACGCUGGGACUUGGCUCUUUUUUGGAGGCUGCGGCCAUGUUCGAGCCCAACUCUCCCGUCUCUACGUGGCACCGGCUGUAGCAAGAGAGAGAGAAAAAAAAAAAAAAGAAAAAAAAAAAAGGACCUUUUGGAACGAGACCAAAGUCAGAGGCAGAGAGUGGGUAGUUUUGGCGUAUGUUGAGCACUGAAAAUGCCUGGAAUUGCCAAACUGAGCUUUUGUAUUAGCAGCGUAAGGCUACUCGGUGCAUGCAGAGUCGCGGGGCUGCACGGUAUAGCCGGACGGAAAGUGAUUCUGCGUUUCCUUCAGUAGCCUGGAUGUCUUGGAGUUAGUAGUCACGUCUCUUCGUUCACGGACGCUCGGAGGAGCAGAUCUCUGUCCAGUUGCAUGGGGGGGGGUGGAUCGGGAUCUGAUAAGGCAUCGGUGUUGGGGUGAUCGUCCUACCUUUCCUUGAAGGACUGCCCGGACAUCUGGAGAGAAGCAGACACUUUCAGAGAGGAGCUGGGAAGGAGAGCAGAAAGAGGUGAAAUCGCUUUUCUUGCACAGAAAGGAGGCACAGAGCAGCUGAUGACGGGAUAAGGAUCAUCUCAUUGCCUUAGACUGCCAUGGUCGCAAGCUGUCCUUGAGGCUGAGGCAGGUAGCACUGUCAUCUGACAACAGACAUAUGAGAAGACAGCAUGCUUCAGAGCUCUGGCACUCGACAAGGCACAGGGAAUCGUUGUUUCUUCUCUUUCUUAGGAGCAGAUGGGACUAUAUCUCUGCCAUAUUCCAAAAUAAGUAGGAUCAAGAACGUGAGUGGAGCUGUAACACGAUCAGGGCUGCAUCAGGUCUUCAAGACUGAAGGACAUCAUCUCAGGCCAUUAUCACUGCCAUCUCACUGUCAGGGAAACGCAUGAGAUCCGAGAUAUCGGGUAGUGAGGGCAAGCAGAGGACACCUUCUCAGAUGAAUUGGGAGGAAGAGAGCUGCAAAAAGAAGUUGGAGCCCUCAAAUUUCACUCUGAGCAAACACACAGGGAGACCCAGACGUGACUGCUUGGGCCAUGGGACUCCUCAAAAUGAAGCAGCUUGUUUAAGGCUCCUCUGCUUCUCGGGAUGGGGUGUAGCUGCAGUGAGGCUGGGACGUGACUUCCUCAGGCUGGGCAACAGCUGGUGGGUGGGGAUGCCGCAGUGUCUAGUGGCGAAGGAAUGCAAUCUUCUCUCCAUAAAUCUGGCUCUUCAGCAGUCCUGGCGACUUGCUGUGCAAAACUACAGCUUGGUCCUCUUAGAUGCAUUAUUAUCCUCUAGCUGCUUGCUGAGGGGCAGGGCUCCUACCCGCAAAUUGCUUGGAAGGUACCAAAAUAGCACCAUGAGCAUGGGAACAGAGCGGCACAUCCACUUCAUAUUUAAGAGGUAUCCCCUAGAAAAGAACUAAUCCUGUGUGUCCCAAAUGAAAUCAGUUCAGUCCCCCUCCCUUGCAUUGAUGUUAAUGCAGAGAAUCUCAAGCAGUGAAACUGUGUGAGCUGGAAGUCAUGAAUAAAAUAUUACUGGAGAUAUUCUCUUGUGAAAAUAAACUUGUUUUGACUUUUUUAAAA